GCGGGGGUGCCCGAGCUAGGUCAAAGGGGGCGGACUUAAGAUCCGCUGGCGAAGGCCUGCGUGGGUUCAAAUCCCACCCCCCGCACCA
rnacentral:tRNA from 1 species